AAGUAAAACAGAGUGUGCGCUUCUCCCCUUUCCCGGUCCCAAGCAACUGCUGUCCGGAAGUUCCUCCUAUAGACAAAUUCUAGCGCUAGAAGGAGAAAUCCCCUAUAUUCGUAGCGUGGGUGAAAGGAAUGAGUGUCGAAUGUAAAGAACAUGGGCAAAAUAUCUGCACAAGUGGAAAGAAAAAUAGUCAGUUUUGGCAAAGAAAUAAAACCAGCCAUUGGUGAGUUUUGAAUGAUCGGGACUGAUAAAAAGAUCUCUCUCCCUGGCUCUUUGUGGCUGUGCAGGUAGAGCCACGGAACGCCUGCCAGGGCAGGACUGCAGGCAGAAGCCAGAACGGACUAAUUACUCUCUUUAGUGCCAAAUAGCAUUUGAGAAGCUUGCAAAGCACUAUCGCUAAACCUCCAUCUAGAUUCUCCUCCCUUAAUUCAAUGCCACUUAGCAUUAUUCUAAUUGGCAAUGUGAGGGUGUGUUUUUUUUUUAAGAUUGGCGUCUAAGCUAACAACUGUUGCCAAUCUUUUUUUUUUUUUUGCUUUUUCUCCCCAAAUCCCCCCAGUACAUAGUUGUAUAUUUUAGUUGUGGGUCCUUCUAGUUGUGCUAUGUGGGACGCCGCCUGCCUCAGCAUGGCUUGAUGAGUGGUGCUAUGUCCGUGCCCAGGAUGCGAACCAGUGAAACCCUGGACUGCUGAAGCAGAGCGUGGGAAUUUAACCACUAGGCCACAGGCCAGCCCCUGGUUUUUUUUUUUUUUUUAUAGGAAUAAAAUAAAGACAAAAGGCAAUCAUGUUGUUAGCAUAAUGCAUUCAAUACAACGUGCUUUGACUUGUUUUAACAUUACAACUUAACUAAAUUUACCUUGGUUAUUAGAAGAGUUGAAUAGAGACUUACUACUCUGAUUUAAGAAAGGGAUGAAAGAAUAAUGAAAACAUAAAAUGUAUGCAGUCACCAUCUAACUUCCUCCCUAUAGUUAAAUGUAAUUACAGUUUUCCAGCAAAGAAUUUGUGGAGAAUUAAAAUGAAAAGAAAGUCUUGGGAAAGUAGCCCCAACUGGUUGGAAAAUAUGAAAUUAAUUAUCUCAGCGUCCAAAAAGAAUGUGUUUCUUAUAAAGAAUCGGAGAUCUGUUGAACUUCAGAAUUAUUUACAUUUCUUCAGCAAUGUUCUCACUGUCAGUGGAACAGCAACAUGUGAAGAAGUAAUUUUGUCACAUGAUCCGUGUAAUCCAGAGCCGGGACAGCGUCCACGGAGCUCGUCCGGGCCAGCCCUCCGUUUCGUCGGAGGACGCCCCAACUGCUUGAAGUAAUUGGUUCCUGUCUGCUUUUGCUAGCUCGUCCUUUUAUGUAAAAACAAGCAAACGACUGAACGGAAAGUGAAGACCUGUUUUUCUCCUUGUCUUAAAAUUUCUUUAAAGAACAAUUUACCCCAAACAUUACAAAUUUCAGACACAGUUUUAGGUCUGUUUUGUUCUGUUUCACGUAAUAUCAAUACUAAGAAAAAGAUUAUCAACAAUUUACUAAAAUUUUCCCAAGAGAUGUUAAAAUUUAGUUUUACAUACAUAGAAAAAGAGUGGACCGCUUUGAAGGGGGAUUAGUUAGAAUUAAAGGCAUUGAAAAAGGAAAAUUGUAGAAGAAAAUCUUAGUGGUGCUCAUUCAGCUGCCAUCCAGAGGAAGCGGGGUGUUAGUCAUCAGACCUGAAGUAUUCAGAUCACAUUGGGCGUCUCAUGUCAACUUUGAGGUCAGUCUAUCAGGACAGCUUAGCUUGCAGACAUCAAACUGGAAAUUCAAUUGGCCCCUUGAUUUAAUACUUACUAAGAAAAGUUCUAUUUGGAUUUCCAUGAAGCUUUGCCGACAAAAGGAAAAUAAACUCUACCCUGGACAGACCAUAAGGUGCUUAGCUGGAGCCAUAUCUAGAGACUCAUUCUGGGAGAGAGCAGCCUCUAGAAAUUCUUUUGGUUUGAGGUUGCCGCGGCUUAUGCACAUGAAACAGGUGAAAUCAAUUCUGCUCCCUAACUGCAGCUGGUGGUCCUAGGCACCCACACCUGGGCUGAGGCAUGUGCAAACAGAUCAGGGAGCCAAAUGCUAAACCACCCCAGCCAUUCAGUCUUUUCCAGAGAGUACAUCUCUGAGAUGCCCCCAGAGUGGGUGGACUCCCGAGGCAUUGGUGAAUCCUAUAGAUGAAGAGCCAUGGUUCCAGCAAUCUUUGAGGCCAGAUGUGCUUUUCAGUCUUAGAAGCGCUGAGUUCUCCCGGUGAUUGGAAUUCUCCAUCUAUAAACCACCAGGUGGAAUCUGCAAAGUUAAGGAUCCAGCCCCCCGGUACACAGUUGCGUACUCUUCGCUGUGGGUUCCUCUAGUUGUGGCAUGUGGGACGCCGCCUCAGCGUGGUCUGACGAGCAGUGCCAUGUCCGCGCCCAGGAUUCGAACCGACGAAACACUGGGCCGCCUGCAGCGGAGCACGCGAACUUAACCACUCGGCCAUGGGGCCAGCCCGGCAAAAUUCAAUUUUUGAUAGUCAUUGUUGAGAUGCGUGGACGUUAGUUGUCUUUAGGGUAUAAGAAACAUAAAAUACGUCUACGGCCAUACCACCCUGAAUGCGCCCGAUCUCGUCUGAUCUUGGAAUCUAAGCAGGGUCAGGCCUGGUUAGUACUUGGACGGAAGAAACAUAAAAUAUGGUAUUAUAGAAAGCACACACAAAACUCUAACUACAGUAAUAACUAAUACUAAAUAAAACACAAAGACCGUGAAAACCUCAUACGAAAUUCCAGAAGAGUCCUUGGGAUGUGGAUAAACUGCGUUAUCUCCUUCAUCAUCUUUUCUCUAUUCUGGAAUGCACCCUGGUGCUUUCUGCUUCCAGAAAGUUCAUUGAAUGAGCUCCUGAAAAUGGCAUUAAAUAAGAGCUUAUAGGAAAGACUUGAUCAUAAGUACAGGGCACAGUAAAGAGGGAGCAGGGGAUCCCGCAAGAAAACCUCCAGUUUGGUGAUUGGUUAGAAAAACUCAAGGGACUCAGCACGGACUUGUCUCCUGGCUGUAAUUUAUUACAGCAGAAGGAUACAAAGCAAAAUCAGCAAAGGGAGAAAGGCACAUGGGGCGAAGUGUGGAGGAACCAGGCACCAGCUUCCAAGAGUCUUCUCCCAGUGGAGACACACAGGACGUGCUGAAUUACUCCAGCAAAAAGAUACAAACCAUGCAUGAAAUGUCUAGUAGGGAAGCUCGUCAGAGACGCAGUGCCCGAUGCUUUCAGUGGACAGGGUCGUGGAGGCACCCUCUGCCUAGCACAUACCAGAACUCCAGACUCCCAGAAAGAAAGCAGGUGUUCAGUGUAAACGACAUUGUUUGUGCAAACAAUUUAGCCACAUUAAACCACACUUAUCAGGGAAUGAUGGAAACACUUCCAAAACCCAAAUUCCCAGACACAAGCCCAGGGCCAAACUUGCAAGCAUGCCUUUCCAGGGAGGGCCUUCUCAGGCCGGCUCUAUUAACUGUUUCCUACACAGACGCAAAAGCAGAUGCCUGCUCCGUGGAGGGACCCAUGCUGGGUCCUUUCAAACAUGUCAUUUUGCUUGCCAUUUUUGUCUCAAACUUUGCACUUUAUCUAGCACCUAUUUUGUUGAAUAAAUGAGUGAGCGUUGCUUCCUUUCCCUCCCCUGCCCUUUUUGCCCUACAGAAACAGGAGCAGUGCUUUAUCCAGAAAACCAUAUUGAAACUCACAGAGAGUUAGUGUAGUAACAGCCAUCACACAGCAGGGGCACCGUAGAGCUCCAGGGCUGCUGGAGGGAAAUGCCGCCCUGGUCUGGGCGAGGCCUCAGCCUGGAGCUGUGGUGGAGAGCUAGCCUGUGUCUCCCAAGGAGUGGCGCUCGGCGGCUGCUCAGCGCAAUUCCAGCUGCUUAGAUUCUAAUGUUUGCUGCAAAAGUCUAAUCUCGCUAUGUUAUAGUUAUAAUUAUCCAGUUUUCAACUUUGAGCUAAACAGAACAUAAGCAAUGUGUCUUUUCAGGUGAUAAAAG
rnacentral:lncRNA from 1 species